AUGGCGUCCAGGGAGGUCAGAGUCCAGGUGGCGGGGGUACUAGACGGCAAGCCGAGGUGUGCUCCGUCCCCGGAAACGCUUCUCGAUCGUGUCCCCUCGCGGGCCGCCGGUGGCGCGGGCAGGACGGCCAAGGACGCGGCCGUGGCUUCUCACGCUGACACGCCGUGCUCCGUCUCGUUCAGCGUGCCGGGCUCGCCGUCGGGGCUCCACCUCGCGCAGCUUGGCAUGCCGCCGUUCGUCCGCGGAAACGACGCCGACGUGGGCGCUGCUCGGGUGCCGCCGAGCGAGUCGAAGGUCGAGCUCGUUCACUACCCGGCGGUACCGCAGCUGCUGAAGCAGGCUCGACACCACUCGCAGCCGUCCCUGGUGGUCAGAGGCGGCGGCGAGGUGCCGACGGUGCUGCGGAGCGACAGCACGCGGGAGCGAGACCGGCGGUUUGACCACUUCAAGACGUUCUCUGGCCGCCUUGAGCGCCAGCUCUCCAACCUCCGCGGGGUGCCACAGGAUAUCGACGUCGAACAAGGUGCAGCGUCGAAGAUCUCAGAAGAGGACACCGACGAGGACGAUGAAGUGCCCACCGCCGACCGCUACUUCGCCGCGCUCGAAGGCCCCGAGCUCGAGACCCUUCGUUCGACCGAGGUGGCGGUGCUGCCUAAGGACGAGACAUGGCCGUUCCUGCUCCGGUUCCCCAUCAGCGCCUUUGGGAUGUGCCUUGGCGUGAGCAGCCAGGCCAUGCUCUGGAAGACCCUGCAGACAGAGCCCUCCACCAAGUUUCUUCACGUGCACCCGGUCGUCAACCACGUCCUCUGGUGGGUCUCCGUCGCACUCAUGGUGGUCGUCUCCAUCACCUACCUCUUGAAGAUCGUCUUCUACUUCGAGGCCGUCCGCCGUGAGUUCCAUCACCCGGUGCGCGUCAACUUCUUCUUCGCGCCAUGGAUCGCCUGCCUCUUCCUCGUCAAGGGUUUGCCACAUCCGGUGUGGGAAAUCCACCACGCCGUCUGGUAUGUGCUCAUGGCGCCCAUCUUGUGCCUCGACCUUAAAAUCUACGGACAAUGGAUGUCUAGCGGCGAGCGACGCCUCUCUAAGGUGGCUAACCCAUCCAACCACCUUGCCGUCGUUGGCAACUUUGUCGGUGCGCUGCUAGGCGCCAGGAUGGGCCUCCGGGAGCUUCCCAUCUUCUUCUUUGCUGUCGGGUUGGCCCACUAUGGCGUGCUCUUCGUCACUCUCUAUCAGCGGCUCCCCACCAACGUGCAGCUCCCCAAGGAGCUCCACCCAGUGUUCUUCCUUUUCGUUGCCGCACCUAGUGUUGCAUCCAUGGCGUGGACAAGGAUCUCUGGCGAGUUCAACAAUGGUGCUAAGCUCCUUUACUUUGUCUCACUAUUCCUCUAUGUGUCGUUGGUGGUACGCGUCAACCUCUUUCGGGGGUUUAGGUUCUCCCUGGCAUGGUGGGCAUACACAUUCCCGAUGACGAGUGUGGCCUUGGCGACAGUGUUGUAUGCAUCGGAGGUAGACAACAUGUUGACACGGGCACUGGCAGUCGGAUUGUCAGGAAUCGCUGUUGUCACAGUCACCGGCGUGCUAGCCACCACCAUGUACCAUGCCUUCGUGCGCAAGGACCUCUUCCCCAACGACGUAUCCAUCGCCAUCACGCGGCGAAGGCCCAAGUUUAGCAAGAUCCUCGCGCACCUUCGAUCGUCGGGCUCUGAUGUCAAGGAGCUUGUUCUCUCCAUCCCAAAUUUCAGUUCCAAUUCCAAGCAGGGUGCAUACUCCGAUGAUGCUGGCUCCAACUCCAGGAUGAGCAGCAGUGUCGGCGAGUCUCCAGUGGCGCACGGGCAUGGAAGAAUAGAGUGUUAG
rnacentral:rRNA from 1 species